UUUUAUAUAGUUUAAGAAAAACAUUACAUUUUCACUGUAAAAUUAAUUAACUUAAUUUAUAAAAU
rnacentral:tRNA from 1 species